rnacentral:tRNA from 1 species
AGUUAAAUGGCUUAAACAAAGCGUAUAUUUUGAAAAUAUGAAAUAAAAGUUAAAUUCUUUUAUUAACU